GAUGAAGAACGCAGCGAAAUGCGAUAAGUAAUGUGAAUUGCAGAAUUCAGUGAAUCAUCGAAUCUUUGAACGCACAUUGCGCCCGCCAGUAUUAUGGCGGGCAUGCCUGUUCGAGCGUCAUUACAACCCUCAGGCCCCCGGGCCUGGCGUUGGGGAUCGGCGGAAGCCCCCUGCGGGCACAACGCCGUCCCCCAAAUACAGUGGCGGUCCCGCCGCAGCUUCCAUUGCGUAGUAGCUAACACCUCGCAACUGGAGAGCGGCGCGGCCACGCCGUAAAACACCCAACUCUUCUGAAGUUGACCUCGAAUCAGGUAGGAAUACCCGCUGAACUUAAGCAUAUCAAUAAGCGGAGGA
rnacentral:misc_RNA from 1 species